AUUGAACGCUGGCGGCAGGCCUAACACAUGCAAGUCGAGCGAGCGGCGGACGGGUGAGUGAUGUCUGGGGAACAGCCUGAUGGGGGGGGGUAACUCCUGGAAACGGUAGCUAAUACCGCAUACGAUAUGGUGUGUCCAGAUGGGAUUAGCUCGUGGGUGGGGUAACGGCUCACCUAGGCGCCGAUCCCUAGCUGGUCUGAGAGGAUGACCAGCCACACUGGAACUGAGACACGGUCCAGACUCCUACGGGAGGCAGCAGUGGGGAAUAUUGCACAAUGGGCGCAAGCCUGAUGCAGCCAUGCCGCGUGUGUGAAGAAGGCCUUCGGGUUGUAAAGCACUUUCAGCGGGGAGGCGUUACCCGCAGAAGAAGCACCGGCUAACUCCGUGCCAGCAGCCGCGGUAAUUC
rnacentral:rRNA from 1 species